rnacentral:misc_RNA from 1 species
UCCGGUUUGUCACCGGCAGUCUCCCUAGAGUGCCCAACUAAAUGAUGGCAAAUAAGGACAAGGGUUGCGCUCGUUACGGGACUUAACCCAACAUCUCACGACACGAGCUGACGACAGCCAUGCAGCACCUGUCACUCGGUUCCCGAAGGCACCAAUCCAUCUCUGGAAAGUUCCGAGGAUGUCAAGACCAGGUAAGGUUCUUCGCGUUGCGUCGAAUUAAACCACAUGCUCCACCGCUUGUGCGGGCCCCCGUCAAUUCAUUUGAGUUUUAAUCUUGCGACCGUACUCCCCAGGCGGUCAACUUAGCGCGUUAGCUACGCCACUAAGAACACUAAGGUUCCCAACGGCUAGUUGACAUCGUUUACAGCGUGGACUAC